AAAGUCGUAACAAGGUUUCCGUAGGUGAACCUGCGGAAGGAUCAUUAUCGUGGGGCUUCGGCCCCGUCGAGAAAGCACCCUUGCCCUUUUGAGUACCUUGGAAUAGACCCUCCCCCGGUUCGCCGGUGCGUGGGGUGACCGAGCCCAUUUUCCUCGGCCGGGUCUCCGGCCAAUGGGGAGCCACAUAAACACCCUGCCAUCGCUGUAAUCGUCUGAUAAAACAAACAAAAAUCAAAACUUUCAACAACGGAUCUCUUGGUUCUG
rnacentral:misc_RNA from 1 species